UCAAAAUUUCUCAGACGACGGUGGGGAAGCAUCUGUAGCUGCUCACCCUUCACUGGAAUCUCCACUACCGACUUCUGGUACGUACCUCCACUCCAGAAGUGGAAUCGGCGAAGAAGAGAUGCAAGUUCGUGAUUGAUAGAAUCCAAGAGUUGCCUACUUCCACCAAGAUCAUUGACUCUUGCCGCCGCAACCUUCUCAAGUUAGCUCGCCUUGAGCUCUGUUUCCUCUCUUACUUUUCUUCUUCUUCUUCGGCUACUAUUGCUACUAUUAUUUCUACGCCUCUCAGGUUCAUCUCAUUUCCAUUUGCCUUUCAUAUGUUUCCAUCUGUUUGGCUGCUAAGGGAAUUAGUUCCAAUAUGACCGGUGAAUCUUCUCUCUUUGUUUUCUUCGUGGAUAAGAACAAUUUUAGUUUUCUUCUGUUUUAAAUGAACAAAGGUUUAAUUUUUUAAUCACUUAAAAAAUCAUUUUUAUGUUAAUUAACUUCAUUAAGGUCUACCUUAGAUGAGUGAGAUAUUGAAGGAAUGCGUCUUUUCUCUUCUUUUGUAUCCUUGCAGCCUGUAGUAACUAAUGGACAUGUAAAAGACUUAGUUUCUUUAGAGAAUGGUAAGAAAGAUUCUUCGUCAAUCAAGAAUGGUUUUGAAAAAAAUAAAGUAGAUGCUGUUGACAACUUAAAAAGGAAGGAUUCAGUGUUAAAAAAAAAAACACUGGUAAUCAUUCUGUUGAAAAAUAUCCCAGAAGGUCAGAUCUUAUGGAUGACACUGGGAGAAGCAGAGCAAUAUCAGGACCUUACAACCAUAAGCUAGAAGCCAAUGGUCUCAACAACAAACCUAAUUCAUUGGAGAAUAAGAGGAAGGAACCAGAGGCUACCAGCAUUUUGCUUGCACAUGAUGAUCAGUCUGAAGCAAGAGUUCAGGAACUUAAAGACAGGAUGGUGGGUGCAAAUGGCGAUUGAUAGUUCAUAUUCUCUGAAAGUGUAUGGGGCAGGGGGUAUGAAGGUUCAGAUAAUGUGAUUACUGAUGAGAUAGAGCUCCAACAACAUCAGAAACUUGAGAAGCUCUACAUAUCAACACGAGCAGGAAAGGUUACUAGGUCCCCUUAUGCCAGUUUUUUAUUCUUAUAAACCUUUUACUUUAAUGGGUCCCCUCAGUUGACUAUUGAUAACAUGAGUUGUUUUCGCUCAAUAUUAUCAAAGGGAUAUUGUCCGUGUGGUAGAAGCUUAUAUUGUUACUGGAUCGAAGCAAAGUUGAAAUAGGUUAGUAACAUUGGGAGGUGAAAUUGGUACUUGCCCUUUUUGUUGAUUAAGGGGUAUGAAAUCUUUUAAACUGGAAUUUUAAGGGAUGAAUUCGUUUGUUCAACAUGUUGUUCAUCAUCCUAUCAUUAAAUAUUAUUUUGUCUUAGUAAGUGCCCCCACCUUCAAGUGUGCCUUUUGCCCCAAAUAUGAGUAGGAUAAGUUGAUGGAUUAUUUAUUAAAGAUUAUUCAUGUUAAUCAUGUUCAUAUGAUCACAUUGAUGGCUCAUUCCUGAUGUUUUGCUUAUGUUUCAAUUUUCAAGGAAGUUAAGCUCAAGGGGAAAGAGAGUUUAGUAGGACUUUACCUUCUUCUAGCUGAUGUGAUAAGUAGGCAUGUAAGCCACUAAGUGCAGCAGCAUGGAGAUACCUUAUUGGUUUUUUUAUUUCAAGAAAGUGCAAUUGAGUAGCUUUAGUUGCGUAUGUUUCAUUUUAGUCUUAUUUUUAACUUUCAUCUGAAUCAAGUAGGUUAUGGUAAUUCAUGGAAUUCAUUUUCAAGGAUCUUCCACUCUUUAAACUUAUUCAAUAAAAUAAAAUGAUACUUGGUCUCAUCUCUUCUUCAUAUAAACCAAGGUGAAUGAAUAAAUAGAAAAAAAAAUUAGACAAGAAGAUAGUAAAAUGGGUACUUUGGCUUUUGGUCUAAGUUCACAUGCUUUUCUUUUUAGAACAGUGGUGUAAAAUGAAGCCAUCACGCAUCAAUUUUAGACCCACCAAAGAUAUGAGUGCAAACUCCCAGUGAGGGAAAAAUGGUGCUCAUGAAAUUUCAUUCUUGUACAGAAAAGUUAAAGCUUGCUAUAAUAUAUCAUUGUUACGAGUUUAGUAACUUAUUCCAAAUAUGCUUUUGCGGUUCCAAAAAAAUAUCAAAAGUAAGGGGCCUCUAUCGAAUCCUCAAUUUGCAUGAAUGUGGGAUUGCAGCUUUAGUUAGGGAUUCUAUUAGUAGUCUUCUUGAAGCUACUGGAAGUGCCACAUUUGGAACAUCUCGAGAGACUGCUUGUGAUCGUUUCUUGAUUAAAUCAACAUAUGCUGUUCGGAUGGAUUGAUUAGUUCUCUGUUUUUGUUUUAAAUAGUGGUG